AGCGAACGCUGGCGGCAGGCCUAACACAUGCAAGUCGAACGAACCUUUCGGGGUUAGUGGCGGACGGGUGAGUAACACGUGGGAACGUGCCUUUAGGUUCGGAAUAACUCAGGGAAACUUGUGCUAAUACCGAAUGUGCCCUUCGGGGGAAAGAUUUAUCGCCUUUAGAGCGGCCCGCGUCUGAUUAGCUAGUUGGUUGAGGUAAUGGCUCACCAAGGCGACGAUCAGUAGCUGGUCUGAGAGGAUGAUCAGCCACAUUGGGACUGAGACACGGCCCAAACUCCUACGGGAGGCAGCAGUGGGGAAUCUUGCGCAAUGGGAGAAAGCCUGACGCAGCCAUGCCGCGUGAAUGAUGAAGGUCUUAGGAUUGUAAAAUUCUUUCACCGGGGACGAUAAUGACGGUACCCGGAGAAGAAGCCCCGGCUAACUUCGUG
rnacentral:rRNA from 1 species